rnacentral:rRNA from 1 species
CGGAGGGUGCAAGCGUUAUCCGGAUUUACUGGGUUUAAAGGGUGUGUAGGCGGGCUUUUAAGUCAGUGGUGAAAUCUCCGGGCUCAACCUGGAAACUGCCAUUGAUACUAUUAGUCUUGAAUUUUGUUGAGGUAGGCGGAAUAAGUCAUGUAGCGGUGAAAUGCAUAGAUAUGACUUAGAACACCAAUUGCGAAGGCAGCUUGCUAAACAAAUAUUGACGCUGAGGCACGAAAGCGUGGGGGAUCAAACAGGAUUAGAUACCCUGGUAGUCCACGCCCUAAACGAUGAUUACUCGACAUACGCGAUACACAGUGUGUGUCUGAGCGAAAGCAUUAAGUAAUCCACCUGGGAAGUACGACCGCAAGGUUG